rnacentral:lncRNA from 1 species
AAUGAUAUUUUCCGAUUUACAGUUCAUGCUUUUAUUCGGUUUGAUUACUGUGCCGGAUUUCAGAGUUUUACUUUGUCCCACUUCGAGCAUUUCGCAUGUUCCACAUCUGGGAUCCCCGCAUUUUUGUAUUUCUGCUACCUUCUGUGUACUGAAUUUUGCGCGUGUGAGAAGUUUCUUCAGAUUUGGCGCUUGUCGACGGCUCCC